rnacentral:rRNA from 1 species
CACGUAGGGGGGCAAGCGUUGUCCGGAUUUAUUGGGCGUAAAGAGCUCGUAGGCGGUUCGGUAAGUCGGGUGUGAAACCUCCAGGCUCAACCUGGAGACGCCACCCGAUACUGCUGUGACUCGAGUCCGGUAGGGGAGCGUGGAAUUCCUGGUGUAGCGGUGAAAUGCGCAGAUAUCAGGAGGAACACCAGCGGCGAAGGCGGCGCUCUGGGCCGGAACUGACGCUGAGGAGCGAAAGCGUGGGUAGCAAACAGG